CUAUAACUAAAUGACUCUCGGCAACGGAUAUCUCGGCUCUUGCAUCGAUGAAGAACGUAGCGAAAUGCGAUACUUGGUGUGAAUUGCAGAAUCCCGUGAACCAUCGAGUCUUUGAACGCAAGUUGCGCCUGAAGCCAUCAGGUUGAAGGCACGUCUGCUUGGGCGUCACGCAU
rnacentral:rRNA from 1 species